UGGUCGGUACUUGGCGGGCAGCAGCAGAAGAGCGUAGAAUGUGAAGGCCAGGAGCAAGUGCUGGCAAGAAAACAUAGUACUUGUGAAUUCUCUUCGGUCUGCUUAUGCAUGUUUUUAAGACUGAUGGCCAGAUCAGUGCAAAUUUAAGGAGAUGAAUGUAGUCCUGCGUUGAUGGUUCCGAUGAGGCCAGUUAGCAAAUCGGAAGGCUGGGAUAAAGCCAUCAGAUAUGAUAGAGGAUGCAUUAUAUCCUGCUUCAAGGUCUGAAAGAAGAGCUGACAAGGAAUCUUGGUGUAAGCAGUCAUCUUUUGGACUAUUUCCUUGCUGUUUCUUCGUAAAUUUCGUGAAAUAUCAUGUCGAGCUUGUAUCAUUAUAGCCGACUACCUAAUUUUGUUUGUUCUAUAUAAUUCCAUGUGACAUUUCGUACUUGCUAAAAGGAAAAAUUGCAAGCCUAAGAUAGGAGAUAGUAAUAAAUUAGAUUUAUUACUUUACUCUUUUGCUUGAUGCAUAUAAGAAUAUGCAUUUAAUUA